rnacentral:rRNA from 1 species
CCCUUAGAUGCUCUGGGCCGCACGCGCGCUACACUGGUCGAUGCAACGAGUUUCUUUCCUUGGCCGACAGGCCUGGGCAAUCUUUGAACAUCGAUCGUGAUCGGGAUAGAUUCUUGUAAUUUUUGAUCUUAAACGAGGAAUUCCUAGUAAACGCAAGUCAUCAGCUUGCAUUGAUUACGUCCCCGCCCUUUGUACACACCGCCCGUCGCACCUACCGAUUGAAUGGUCCGGUGAAAUCUCCGGACUGGCGUGAGUCGGAGCAAUCUGACAAACGCCGGAAAGUUGAUUAAACCUUACCAUUUAGAGGAAGGUGAAGUCGUAACA